GGUGGUGGCUCAAUGGUAGAGCACUUGCCUAGCAUGUGUGAGGCACUGGGUUUGAUUCUCAGUACCA
rnacentral:tRNA from 1 species